UUUGUGUCCUGUAUGAACCCUAGACACCGCCAGUAUGAGGCGCACAGUGAUGAUGUCAGAGGUUUUCCUGCUCCUACUGCUGGCAAGCUUCAUCUCCGCAGACCAGAGCACUGUUCCUAUGGAUGUGUCUGAGAGUCCAUCUCCCUAUUCGUCCAGUUUCUGGUGCGGCUCCCGGUACUGCAACAACGGUCUGGACUGUCUGGAAGUCGACGACUCCAAAAGGUGUGUGGACCCCUGCGAUCACUACUCCAUCCUGGAUGACCCUCGCCGCUCAGUCUCCAACAAGCUCCACUCGGACAGGUACUCUCUCAACGACCGCGACAUCCGCUGGGCCGGGUGGUACCGCAUGAUGCUGAAUGGCGUCAAUGCUAAGAUUCCCGAGAUCUGCGUGGGAGAGUCCAUGUGUGGGGCCCAGUACCCACUGUGGCUCAGCAGCAGACACCCCCGUCCGGAGGACGGAGUGGUACGUUCCAACGUGUGUGGCGUGGGGAGGGGCAGCUGCUGCAGGUAUGACUCUAAGCAGAUACACGUGAAAAUGUGUCCUGGUGGCUUCUAUAUCUACAAGCUGGUGACACCUUAUAAGAGCGAUUCUGCCUACUGCGCUGCUGUUUCAGAGCUCCCAACAACUACAACUACCACGACCCCCGAACCCACCACUACCACGACCCCCGAACCCACCACUACCACGACCCCCGAACCCACCACUACCACGACCCCCGAACCCACCACUACCACGACCCCCGAACCCACCACUACCACGACCCCCGAACCCACCACGACCCCCGAACCCACCACUACCACGACCCCCAAACCCACCACUACCACGACCCCCGAACCCACCACUACCACUACCACGACCCCCAAACCCACCACUACCACGACCCCCGAACCCACCACUACCACAACCCCCGAACCCACCACUACCACGACCCCCGAACCCACCACUACCACGACCCCCGAACCCACCACUACCACGACCCCCGAACCCACCACUACCACGACCCCCAAACCCACCACUACCACGACCCCCGAACCCACCACUACCACGACCCCCGAACCCACCAUGACCCCCGAACCCACCACUACCACGACCCCCGAACCCACCACUACCACUACCACGACCCCCGAACCAACCACUACCACGACCCCCGAACCCACCACUACCACGACCCCCGAACCCACCACUACCACGACCCCUGAACCCACAAUUCUUCCACCAAUUGCAAAGCCAUACCUGGAGUGCGGGAGGAAUGUCAUAGAAGUAGGGCUCCCAUCGGCUGAGAUGAAGGCCAUCGGCCUGGACUCCUCCUCGGCACACCUGUCAGAUCGUCUCUGCUCCACUCACCUGGAGCGUGACGGGAAGAUGUGGUACCAGGUGGAUCGCAAGGAGGGAAGCUGUGGAAACAGUCUGAAGACCAACGGAUCUCACGCUAUCUUCUCCAACAACAUCUUCGUUUACCCUUUGAACCUAGCCUCUGACUCUCUGUCUCAACCAAUCAGAAUCCACUUCUCUUGCGUCUACCCAAUGGACACAGAGACCAGUCUGGAUGUGGUAAUAAAGCCCUAUUUGGGACUGGAUGGAGCAGGCCUGGUGAAUGUGGGACCCAAGGCCAAGGCUUCCAUGUCUCUGUUCCACAGCGCUGACUACAUGGAGCCCUACCCAGCAGGCCCGGUCACUCUGCCCCUGGGCUCCGUCCUGCAUGUGGGCGUGUCCGUACAGGACACAGAGACGGAUCGCUUUGUGGUCGUUCUGGAGGACUGCUACGCCACCCACUCCGCCAAUCCUUACAAUCUCACAAGAUACUUCCUCAUCCAGCACAAGUGUCCAGCCGACCGUCGCCAGGUGACCGUGGAGGAGAGUGGCUUGUCCCUCCAGGCUCGCUUCUCUGCGCUGCUGUUCCUGUUCCAGGGGGACUACAGGGACGUCUACCUGCACUGCAGCCUCAACCUGUGUGACCAGAGGAGCUCCUCCUGCUCUCCUAUGUGUUCCAGAAGAGCAGCACGUUCUGUCUCCGAGUCUCUCCCUCUCAAGCCCCUCACCAUUGGACCAAUCACCUGGGACAGCAGACUUGACUGAGCUCCCCUUCCUCAGCUGCUUACUGGAUCCAAACAUCAUGUCACUUUAUGAUAACCUUCCCUGUGAUGACCAACUGUCGCUCAGAUUCCUUCUACUAAAACCCCUUUAAAGAUGAAUGCUCAAUCUCAAUUAUCUUGGUUAUCUUAUUCUGUUUUAUUUUCAUUGCCAUGUGAA